rnacentral:rRNA from 1 species
CGGGAAGCCCCCCUCGAGAUGAAUUCUCCCUACGAGACACGUGGCAGACUACCACGUUGAUAGGCCGGAGGUGUAAGCGCAGUAAUGUGUUGAGCUGACCGGUACUAAUCAGUCCAUUGGCUUUAUAUC